AGGGAGUCAUUCUCCGAUUUAAUAACAGAUCUCAUAACUGUGAACAAUUCAAUUAAUCACUUUCUCUCUCCCUCCUCCUCUCUCUGUAACUCUGACAUGCUAACUUUCUCCUCUACCACUGAGAGCCAUUCUCGCCUGAACGGAGUGUUAUUGAGCUACUUGAACCUUGUCUGCUCUCACUCUCACGGUCUCUCUCUGUCGCUCUCUCUCUCUCUCACAUUCAUUUCAUCGCUCUCCGAUGUUCUCGCCAUCUCUCUCUCUCUAUUUCUCUCUCUCUCAGUCGAGACACAACAGUAAAGUUGUGUGCCUGUUCCUACGGCAACAGAGCAGCAGAAUCUCGGAGGUCACACUUGUGGAGUCAGCUGUCUGUCUGCCCCUCCGCCUGAGUACUGUAGGAGACUAGGCCAGUGUGUAAAGUCCAUCUAUACCUUUAACGUGGCGAUGGCUACAUCAUCACUGGAUCAGAUGGGGGUAAAGUACAAACCUGGAGCUGGCAAACCAUGGACAACUGUCAAUCAAUCAUACCAAAUGAGGAGGCUGUGACCUCCCUA